UACGUAGGGGGCAAGCGUUGUCCGGAUUUAUUGGGCGUAAAGAGCGUGUAGGCGGUUUGGUAGGUCCGCUGUGAAAACUCGAGGCUCAACCUCGAGACGCCGGUGGAAACCAUCAGGCUAGAGUCCGGAAGAGGAGAGUGGAAUACCCGGUGUAGCGGUGAAAUGCGUAGAGAUCGGGAGGAACACCGGUGGCGAAGGCGGCCAGCUGGCGCUGACCUGACGCUGAGGCGCGAAGGCGUGGGGAGCGAACGGG
rnacentral:rRNA from 1 species